rnacentral:rRNA from 1 species
AACGAACGCUGGCGGCGUGUUUAAGACAUGCAAGUCGAACGGAGUGAGGUUGUAGUAAUACUAUUUCAUUCAGUGGCGCACGGGUGCGUAACACGUGAGUGACAUGCAGCAACCUGCCCUGAAGUAGGGGAUAGCCCUCCGAAAGGAGGAUUAAUACCGUAUGUGAUCUCCGGAUCAAAGGUGGCUUCGGCUGCCGCUUCAGGAUGGGCUCGCGGCCUAUCAGCUUGUUGGUGAGGUAACGGCUCACCAAGGCAACGACGGGUAGCUGGUCUGAGAGGACGAUCAGCCACACUGGAACUGAGACACGGUCCAGACACCUACGGGUGGCAGCAGUCGAGAAUCAUUCACAAUGGGGGAAACCCUGAUGGUGCAACGCCGCGUGGAGGAUGAAGGCCCUCGGGUCGUAAACUCCUGUCAUCGGUGAACAAAUGCUUUCGGUUAACACCCGGAAGAACUGCUAGUAGCAGAAGAGGAAGGGACGGCUAACUCCGUGCCAGCAGCCGCGGUAAUACGGAGGUCCCAAGCGUUGUUCGGAUUCACUGGGCGUAAAGCGUGCGUAGGCGGCGAGGUAAGUCAGAUGUGAAAUCCCGGGGCUCAACCCCGGAACUGCAUCCGAUACUGCCUUGCUAGAGUAAUGGAGGGGCAUCUGGAAUUCACGGUGUAGCAGUGAAAUGCGUGGAUAUCGUGAGGAACACUAGUGGCGAAGGCGAGAUGCUGGACAUUUACUGACGCUGAGGUACGAAGGCCAGGGUAGCGAACGGGAUUAGAUACCCCGGUAGUCCUGGCAGUAAACGGUGCUCGCUUGGUGUGGGAGGAUUCGACCCCUUCCGUGCCGGAGCUAACGCGUUAAGCGAGCCGCCUGGGGAGUACGGCCGCAAGGCUAAAACUCAAAGAAAUUGACGGGGACCCGCACAAGCGGUGGAGUAUGUGGCUUAAUUCGAUGCAACGCGAAGAACCUUACCUAGGCUUGACAUGCGUCUCUAAGCCGGUGAAAGCGUGUGACUCUUCGGAGACUUUACACAGGUGCUGCAUGGCCGUCGUCAGCUCGUGUCGUGAGAUGUUCGGUUAAGUCCGGCAACGAGCGCAACCCCUGUGACUAGUUGCCAGCACGUAAUGGUGGGGACUCUAGUCAGACUGCCCAGAUCAACUGGGAGGAAGGUGGGGAUGACGUCAGGUCAGUAUGGCCCUUACGCCUAGGGCUGCACACGUACUACAAUGUCCAGUACAAUGAGAACCGAUACCGCGAGGUGGAGGAAAUCUACAAAACUGGGCUCAGUUCGGAUUGGAGGCUGCAACUCGCCUCCAUGAAGUUGGAAUCGCUAGUAAUGGCACAUAAGCUACGGUGCCGUGAAUACGUUCCCGGGUCUUGUACACACCGCCCGUCACAUCAUGGAAGCCGACAGCACCCGAAGUAUCUGCGCCAACAUUGGCAAGGCUGGUAACUGGGAUG